AUACGAUAAAGGUAAACCCUGAGUGAUCAGGGGGCACAAAGUGUAGGGUCUUUAAGCUUGCAAGGAUGUAGUUAAAGACGCACCUGAUCCUUUCGUGAAAAGAUAGCCUUACUGCCGAA
rnacentral:ncRNA from 1 species